GCACGUGCAUGAUUGCACGUCUUGAAUGAAUAUAUUUUUUAAUUUAAAAGCCACGAUUUUCAUUGGUCGUCGACGGGUUAAUUUGUAAUAUCACAAAGUCACAAAGUAAACAGAGGCGGCAUGAUUCAGCAUGCAGUCCAUCACUCCAUCCGUUGCCGCACAAACAGUAUACGGAUCCGACUAGGCGACGUUUGCAUUCAUUAGUUUCAUUUGACUAUUUUCGCCAUGUUCGUUGCAAGAUUUAGGGUUUAUUCUGCAUAUCUUGGCGGUGGGGUUGUUGGGUCUGCUUUGGUUUAUUCCUUGGCUAGACAAGGUCAAG